UCCCUGGUGGUCCAGUGGUGAAGACUCUAUGCUCGCAAUGAAGGGAACCUGGGUUCAAUCCCUGGUCAGAGAA
rnacentral:tRNA from 1 species